AUCCAAAACUGAAAGCUCAAGAAAAUGGGCCCUCUAAACCCCUAAUAAAUCCUCACCCUUCUCAGUUAGAUUUACUCGAUUCACAGGUCGCCGACGCUCACGGCGGCCGCCACACUCUCACGGAAACAAGUGCUUGUUUAUUUUGACUCAAGUGGAUGGCUGCAAAAUUGCAAGCGAAAGAUGCAGAGGAAUGGACUUACAGAGGAGAAGGAGCUGUGAAUCUUGUUCUUGCUUAUUGUGGAAGCUCUCCUCAUUUCGUUGGAAAGGUUUUAAGGAUACAAAAAGUUUCAAAUGAUAGGCGUGAAUGUGAGAAUGGUCAUUCAGCUCUAGUGAACCAUGAAUCCCUCUUGUGGGGAAAAUUUGAAGGUAUAGUUUCAGCACCUACAAAGGAAAUUGCGGAGCAUGUUUAUGUGCAGAAAGUAAUGUGCCCACUCUUGGGAUCAGAGCAUGUUGAUGCAGGGAUCCAUGUUCUUGUGUCAAGAGAAUUUUUGGAGGCAGUUGACAACAAGGUUCUUUGCCAGCGUCCAUCAUGGCGUGUUGAUGCUGCCAGAGUUAAUCCCCUUCGUGACUCGGCUCUUCUAAUUACUGAUCAUUCAGUGUUUCCUCAUGCUUCAGGUUCUCUCAAAGAGGAUUUCUGUGUGUCUGUUGAGAUAAAGCCCAAAGGCGGAUUUCUUCCUACCUCAGAAUUUAUAGCUGAGGGAAAUGCAGUUAAAAAGAGACUUACUCGAUUUAAGAUGCACCAAGCUCUAAAAUUACAUCAACGAAAGAUAUCUCAAAUAAGUCAAUAUGAUCCUCUAGAUUUGUUUUCUGGAUCCAAGGAUAGAAUACAAAGAGCAUUUAAAGGCCUCUUUCUUACACCUCAGAAUAAUUUUCGAGUUUUCUUAAAUGGUUCGAUUAUUUUUGGAGGCAUGGGGGGCACUGCAGACAGCACUAGUUCUGCGGUUGCUCAAUCAUUCCAUGAUGGACUUAAACAUGUUAUUUCAGCAAAGGAUGGGAUGCACAUCAAGGGUUUAGUGGAUCUUCUCACUGAAACUAUUUAUAAGUCUGGCUUGUUGAAUCGGCUUCUUGAAGUACAGAAGCUUGAUGCUAUUGAUAUAGAAGGUGCAAUUCAUGCCUACUAUGACAUUAUUUCUCAGCCUUGCGUGGUCUGUCGGAAAAUAGGUGGAAAAAGAUUCUCAGCAAGAUAUUCAUCAAUUCAUUCAAUGCAAAGGGAUGAUAAAGUGAAAAUUGUGAGGGAUUACUUGAUAUCAGCCACAGCAAAGGACUUAAGUAUGAUGAUUAGUUUUAAGCCCAAAAUAAAUAUGGAUGAGGAGUCUCCACAUCGUGCUGUCUUUCUGGAAGCAAGCAAGCAAACCUUUUGUUACAAGGCAUUUUUCAUUGACCUGGACAUGAAACCAUUGAAGAAAAUGGAAUAUUACUAUGAGCUGGAUCAACAAAUAGUCAACUACUAUGUCCAGAUGUUAAAAGAUACAGAUGUGCUUGAUUGUGAUGAGACAACCCAUGAGUCACUGAACGCGUGCACCAGUGUUAAAAAUGGUGAAAUGACAAAUUGAUUGAGGAGCUUAAAAGAAAGAUAUAGAUCAGCUUUCUUUUCUAUGAAGAAAGGGAUUUUUUUGCAGACUUCCUGGAUUUCUUAGAUCAAUUUUCUGACUACAGCCACUUUAAACCUGAGGAUAAGGUUAUGGCAUGCCGACAUGACUGGCCACACAGUUCAUUUUGAUGAGUUCAAAAAGACACAUUUAAGUUGAAAGCCACAAACUGAAGAGAAGCUCCUCUAUAAAUGGAUGGUACCAAUUAGUCGUGGCAAUAAUCCUCUGCGCUUCACGAAAAUGGCAAAGCCUAUUAUAACUAUCGCCCCAUGAUAUGAAGAUGCUCAAUGUUUAUAACACAAUUAUGAAACACUCAUAUUCAUUAGAUAUUCCAUUCCUUGAUACACCCAAACUGUAUUAUCACACUUGUUCUAUUUUUGAAGUACUUUUGCAUAUGUCAGUAAUAAGGAAAGAUCAUUGUCCGAUAUGUCAGUAGUUUCGAAGGGCAAUAUGGUGCUGAAUUUUAGGUUUAAUAUUUGAUGACACUGUAUAAGUGCGUUGAACCAAGUGACUCAUGGUGCAAAGUACUCCAUCCGUCCCAUAAUAGAUGUCACACUUGGAUGAUGACACGAGAUUUUAGGAGAUAUUGUUUGUUUAAGUGGUGA